rnacentral:lncRNA from 1 species
GUGGAAUCGCCUAGACAGGAGCGUGAUAAAUAGGUAAAUGAACUACGAGACCAUAAUGGUGGAGGCGAUUACAACAAUCGCUACACUUUGACGAAGAAUUAGAAGAUUUAGAUGUGGUGAUAAUGGUGAUGAUGCGUAUCUAUGAUAGCUGUUGGGUACAGUUCUCUUAUUGGUGGGAAUGAUGGAGCCGUUGUCAAUAUUAAUGAGCAGUGAUGGUUAAGGUUGUGUAUAUAAAGUAGACAUUUUGUAACGGCAUUGAGGAGUGUGUGG